rnacentral:rRNA from 1 species
GAUGAAUGCUGGCGGCGUGCCUAACACAUGCAAGUCGAGCGGUAACAGGAAUAAUUUAUUAUUUGCUGACGAGCGGCGGACGGCUGAGUAACGCGUGGGAACAUGCCCCAAAGUGAGGGAUAAGCUCCAGAAAUGGAGUCUAAUACCGCAUAUGAUCUUCGGAUUAAAGGAUUUAUCCGCUUUGGGAGUGGCCUGCGUACGAUUAGAUAGUUGGUGAGGUAAUGGCUUACCAAGUCUACGAUCGUUAGCUGGUCUGAGAGGAUGACCAGCCAGACUGGAACUGAGACACGGUCCAGACUCCUACGGGAGGCAGCAGUGAGGAAUCUUCCACAAUGGGCGAAAGCCUGAUGGNAGCACGCCGCGUGCANGAUGAANGCCCUCGGGUCGUAAACUGCUUUUAUAAGUGAAGAAUAUGACNGGUACUUAUGAAAUAGCACCGGCUAACUACGUGCCAGCAGCCGCGGUCAUACGUNAGGUGCAAGCAUUAUCCGGAGUGACUGGGCGUAAAGAGUUGCGUAGGUGGACAGUAAGCGAAUAGUGAAAUCCGACGGCUCAACCGUACGGACUAUUACUCGAACUGCUUGUCUCGAGAAUGGUAGAGGUAACUGGAAUUUCUAGUGUAGGAGUGAAAUCCGUAGAUAUUAGAAGGAACACCAAUGGCGUAGGCAGGUUACUGGACCAUUUCUGACACUGAGGCACGAAAGCGUGGGGAGCGAACCGGAUUAGAUACCCGGGUAGUCCACGCCGUAAACUAUGGAUACUAGCUGUUGGGGGUAUCGACCCCCCCAGUAGCGAAGCUAACGCGUUAGGUAUCCCGCCUGUGGAGUACGGUCGCAAGACUAAAACAUAAAGGAAUUGACGGGGAGCCGCACAAGCGGUGGAUUAUGUUCUUUAAUUCGAUGAUAACCGAAGAACCUUACCAGGGAUUGACAUCCCAAGAAUUUUGUCGAAAGACGAGAGUGCUUUAUUGAACUUGGUGACAGGUGAUGCAUGGCCGUCGUCAGCUCGUGUCGUGAGAUGUUUGGUUAAGUCCAUCAACGAGCGCAACCCUUGUGAAUAGUUGUAUUUUUCUAUUCAGACUGCCCCGGCAACGGGGAGGAAGGAGGGGAUGAUGUCAGGUCAGUAUUUCCCUUACGCCCUGGGCUAGAAACGUAAUACAAUGGCCAGUACAAUGCGCAGCGAAGCCGCGAGGUGAAGCAAAUCGCAUCAAAACUGGUCCCAGUUCGGAUUGGAGGCUGAAACUCGCCUCCAUGAAGUUGGAAUCGCUAGUAAUCGCAGAUCAGCAAGCUGCGGUGAAUACGUUCCCGGCUCU